rnacentral:rRNA from 1 species
UGACGAAUAUUCCGCAAUGGGCGCAAGCCUGACGGAGCGAUGCCGCGUGCGGGACGAAGCCCCUCGGGGUGUAAACCGCUGUCAGAGAUUAGCAAAACAAUGAGCAUUCUCAAAGGAAGAGGCGACUAACUCUGUGCCAGCAGUCGCGGUAAUACAGAGGCCUCGAGCGUUAAUCGGAGUCACUGGGCUUAAAGGGUGCGUAGGCUGGUCCGCAAGUGCCUUGUGAAAUCCCACGGCUCAACCGUGGAAGAGCUUGGUAGACUGCGGGUCUUGAGGUCGGUAGGGGCCGCUGGAACUCUAGGUGGAGCGGUGAAAUGCGUAGAUAUCUAGAGGAACGCCCAAGGCGAAGGCAGGCGGCUGGGCCGAUUCUGACGCUGAGGCACGAAAGCAUGGGUAGCGAACGGGAUUAGAUACCCGCGUAGUCC